GGAGGAAAAAAAAAGAGUUCAUUUAGUGACCAAGCCGGUCAUUGCAAGUUGCUCUUCCAGCGCUAGCAGAGUUAAAAGGUUGGCUGAAUCCAAAGAAAAUUCAGAAAUUUUGCUUCUGAAUAAAGCAUGUGAGCCUGGCCCAGAAGUAAGCUGCUCUCUUCCUUUUAUGAAUCAGCCUCCAAGAUAUGCUCACAUUCCUGAGAAACAAGCCUGGAAUAACACGGCUGGCUUUUGGGUGCAAUACACUGAUUAUGAGGAAGCAACCGUCUCCUGUGUAUGAAUAGCUUUUAUGUUGAAAUAGCCGCUUGCCUGUUCGACCAGACCUGAACCAUAUUAUUGGCUAAUCAACAUCGUAUAUCAUUUGCCAGCAAAAUUUCUCAGCUGUUAAAAGCAGGACUUUGUCUCUGGCUGUAACAAAAACACUCAUAUCCCAGGAGCUGCGUGUUGUGCCAGGAUCAGUCCCACCCGUGCAGGCUCCGAGGGACACUGAGCAGCGUGGUCCAGGUGAGAAGCAGCUGGGCGGGAUGUAAGAGUGCAGAGUGCACGCGUUGCAGAAAACCCGUCCAAGUUCAGUGGAGUGGUUUGCAAUGAGGUACCCAAAGAGAUGAGAUGCUCCUACCUGGAGACUUUCGUUUUCAUCAAGACCUCUUUUCUUCUGGACCUGGCCCUGGCUGAACCCUGGUGAACUUCUCCUGCAUCCCUGUGCUCUUCCCCCUUCCCUGCCGGCGCGUCUGCAGCCGUGAACUUCCUGUGCCCGACCCGAGAGUGUCUCCGAGAGGUGUGAUUCAAGUUGUGGCGGGAACGGCGGCAGCCGCAGGAAGGAGAUCGCUGACCCGCCCCUGGCUCCUGCUCAACCUUCCUAAUCAAGGGAGGAAUGUCUCUGGACCCGAGCGCUCCUGGCUAAACUGCACUGUGGGCCACUUGGCUUUCCUCUGCGAGCGCUUCCUUUGCAAGCCAUCUGUGAGGGUCACACUGGGCAAAGCUCGCCACAUGCCCUCUUGGAUCAGCGUGUUUUGUUGCGGCAGCGCUGGUGGGGAGGAAGAGGACCGGAAGAGGAGGACGAUGCAUGGACUGAGGAAGGCCUGCAGGGUGACUCGGUACCACUGCUGUUCCUGCCUUGGUAGGUGGAGAUACGCCUCUUCUCCUGGCGCAGGCAACUCCCCCUUCCAUGCCAUGGGUGUUUUGGGAUGGACCGCCACAUCCUUGCCACCCUGUGCUUGUUUCUUGGUGUGAACUUGGAGAUUUGUGGUCAAACGGCAGCUGCUCUCCUCUGCUUGCUAUUGCAUGAUUGAUCAAGAAGGGAAUACCAGCCCUUGCAAACAGGGGUGUCUUGUGCCUUGGGGACAGUGGGAUCUAUCCCUCCCAGAGCUUUACAGGUCCCUAAAAAUCUUUCUUUGGAUUUUUGUCUUCAGAGGGCUGUGCCACAGCAGUAUAAUGUAAUGGAGGUAGCGUGAAGCAGGGAGACAGUGUGGAGCAAUGCAACAGCACAGAACAGAAUUUCUUGGGGGGCUGUAUAUAUAUAUAUAUUUUACAUGUAUUUUUAAAUAUAUAUAAAAUAAAACAUAUAUAUAUAUGUGUUUUAUUCACACUUGAAGUUGGGA